UCCGAAGGGGGCUAUCGUUGUUCGGAAUUACUGGGCGUAAAGGGCGCGUAGGCGGUCUUGUAAGUCAGAUGUGAAAGCCCCGGGCUCAACCCGGGAAUAGCAUUUGAUACUGUGAGGCUUGAGUCCGGGAGAGGAUGGCGGAAUUCCCAGUGUAGAGGUGAAAUUCGUAGAUAUUGGGAAGAACACCGGUGGCGAAGGCGGCCAUCUGGACCGGUACUGACGCUGAGGCGCGAAAGCGUGGGGAGAAAACAGG
rnacentral:rRNA from 1 species